AUUAAGUUUUGUUUUGUCUUUUGCUGGCGGGAAAAAGUCGUAACCAAAUACAUGAAAGAAAAGUUCAGUCGCCUGAACUUUGCCUCUUCUGAUGGCUCCGGAAUUGGUCGAUUAAAGGAAAGUAAUAAGGAAAAAGACAACGACGGAUGUUACCCGUGAUGCUGCCAAUAUGAAGAGAUACCGAUAACCGUAGCGAUUGAUCUUGCGAUGCUCUGAAUCAUCCGCACCGUCUAUAAAGGUUAUAUUUCUAUAUGUGGAACAUCACCAUGCCAGAUGGAACCGGAAGAUUGACACCGCCACCGUUAAGCUACAGUAGAUUUUUUUUAAGAGACAAAAGUAUUACCUGGCAGAAAGUUGGCCCAGCUCAUGACCCCGAAUAAUCCUCGGAAUGAUCCUCCAGCAUAAUCAACGAGCUCAUUUACACUAGUCUUCAUGCACUCUAAG